UUUUACUAAAAGAAUAAAUUUUAUUUCAGCACUGUAAGUCGUUUCUCAACCGUACAAACACGACCACCAUCUUUACAUCAUCAAGCCUCUCCUCCUGUUCCAGUCUUCCUUUGUGAAAUCACUUCCUCCACAGCCAGACGAAUAUAAAAGGGCUCUCUCCACAACAUUCUGGUGCUUCCAUUUUAGCUAACGAUGACAAAUUAUACCGAUCAUAAUUAUAACAGCAAUAAUAGUAGUGAUGAAGAUGAACCUUUUACUGCACUGUUGUUUUGAGGGGGGAGGGGGCUUACAGUACAUGAUACAGUACACAUUACUGCUGGUUUACAGUUGAUGUAUUACAUGUGUUACAGUUGCUUCAGAAGGCGUUGGUACAGAUACUCACAGACUCGACACCUGUAUGAUGUUAUAUCAUCAUCAUGUGACCUGAACUGACCGCUCACUCCAUAUCCUCCCUAGCUGCAUCCCAAAUAGCAUCCUAUUCCCUUUCUAGUACACUACUCAUGACCAGGACCCUGCACCACAAGGUCAAAAGUAGUGCACUAUUAUAAGGAAUGGAGUGAAAUUUGCAAUGUAAUCAACUGUCUUUAUUACCUGUAAGCCUAUCUAGUCUGGACCACCAGGCAGUGUAGCCAUACAUGUACUGAAACCUUAUAACACAGUCCUACAGUAACCAAUACAGCUCUGUUCUACUCAUCACAAAACUCCACUCUAUAAGGGGUAAACCAAUCACACGUGCUGUGAUGUCAUCAUAGAAUCGCUCUCAUGAUAGGCCAUUGUAUUUUUCUGGGGACUUCCAACUCUGUGCAAAGUACAGCUUCACUUGAGUCGACCAUGAAAUCUUUAUAAAGGGACGUUAAUAAUACGAGAAUAUACGAACGUAGUGCAGAAACGAUUAUCAUUUAAAAAGCUUUUGACGGGCGAUAUUUAACUGACAUAGUAACAACGACAAGGUGAUCUUUAAAAUGAUUUAUGGCAUAUCAAAUACCAAGAAGGAUCAUCGUUAAUGGUUCCAAUAUAAAUCUCUAUGUUUGGCUAAAGCCUCUUAGAACUAACGGUUGCUUUGAUAGAUAGAAGGGGUUAGAAGACAUUAAAAAGAGUAAGAAAAAAAAAGUGAAGCACAAUUGAAUAAAACAGAUUUUUUUUGUUGCAGACUCUGGCUAGUUUACAAAGAGAAACUGAUCAUCAAUAAUAACAUCGUUCACAAAGAGAAACUGAUCAUCAAUAAUAACAUAGCCUCUACUGUUAGUGUGGGUGGUUAGGGGCGGGGUCAGAAAACAGCCAAUAGAAAUGGUCCUAGAGGAAACAGAUAAGGGCUGAUACAGUGAUCCAUCCAUCGGACAGACUGCCUGUGUCGGACAGACUGCCUGUGUCGGACAGACUGCCUGUGUCGGACAGACUGCCUGUGUCGGACAGACUGUUGGUGAAAGGGUGUAAAGACUGUUGGUGAAAGGGUGUAAAGACUGUUGGUGAAAGGGUGUAAAGACUGUUGGUGAAAGGGUGUUGGUGAAAGGGUGUUGGUGAAAGGGUGUUGGUGAAAGGGUGUUGGUGAAAGGGUGUAAAGACUGUACUCUAUGGGCUGCUUUAAAGCGGAACGACCUAAUGAGGGGGACAGAGGGAGGAAGAGAGCGAGAACGGUGAAGACGGGGGUGAAGAGAGAGGUGGGGUUGAAGGGCGAGGUGAAGAGAGAGGUGGGGUUGAAGGGCGAGGAGGGGGGUGAAGAGAGAGGUGGGGUUGAAGGGCGAGGGGGGUGAAGAGAGAGGUGGGGUUGAAGGGCGAGGGGUGAAGAGAGAGGUGGGGUUGAAGGGCGAGGUGAAGAGAGGAGGGGUUGAAGGGCGAGGGGUGAAGAGAGAGGUGGGGUUGAAGGGCGAGGGGGGGGUGAAGAGAGGAGGGGUUGAAGGGCGAGGGGUGAAGAGAGAGGUGGGGUUGAAGGGCGAGGUGAAGAGAGGUGGGGUUGAAGGGCGAGGGUGAAGAGAGAAGGGAUGUUGGUAUAUAGAGGAAUAUUAAAAUAAGCAAUAAAAUCACUGAUCAAUAAAAUCUAAUACAACUAAAUCAGACACGGAUAACAAUGGGAGAGUAAUUAUGUUGUUGUUGACUUUAUCCAUACUAGCUAGUGUCUAACUCAGGGUGUGACAUCAAUGUGUGUGUGUGUGUGUGUGUGUGUGUGUGUGUGUGUGUGUGUGUGUGUGUGUGUGUGUGUGAGUGUGUGUGUGUGUGUGUGUGUGUGUGUGUGUGUGUGUGAGUGUGUGUGUGUGUGUGUGUGAGUGUGUGUGUGUGUGUGUGCACGUACUCUUACGAGUGAGUCAAGAGGGAUGUGUGUGUGUCAGACUGCAGCUCGGUACAACUGUAGAGUUACCAAGUGUCUCUGCUUCACCCACAGACAGUAACUGACGAGGAACAGCAACAUCACUUCAGCACAAACACAGAGAGGGCUGGUAACAACUACUGUGUGUGUGUGUGAGUAAGUAUUCUUACGAGUGAGUCGACAGGGAUGUGCGUAAUUUUGCCAGCUAGCGGAGCGACUUAAGUUAGGCCCACUCCUCCUCCUGGCUGAACAGAAAUAGUCAUGACCUGCAGUGUCCCGUCAUCUUAUUGUGCUACAGUAACGUCAUGUGAAAAGGUUAAAGCAUUAUUCAUGGAGUGCAAAUUCCGUCACAAUAUUGUUUAGAACGUUCGUUUUGAACUGAUGCACGACUGAGCAUUCUACUCAAUGAGCGCCGAUGAAGAUUUCAUCAAAAGUGCAUUACAGUGGCUUGGGAAUACAAUGACACUCAAAAGGAGGCAAAUAAUUAGUAGGAAAACCUUUUGAUGUCGCCAGAUUGACUUUAGAUACAGUAUAACGUUAGCUAGCUAGCUAAGAUUGAGGUGAGGCCACCAGAUAGACUUUAGAUACAGUAUAACAUUAGCAAGCUAAGAUUGAGGGGAGACGACCAGAUUGACUUUAGAUGCAGUAUAACAUUAGCUAGCUAGCUAAGAUAGAGGUGAGGCCACCAGAUAGACUUUAAAUGCAGUGUAACGUUAGCUAGCUAGCCACCAGAUUGACUUUAGAUGCAGUGUAACGUUAGCUAGCUAGCCACCAGAUUGACUUUAGAUGCAGUGUAACGUUAGCUAGCUAGCCACCAGAUUGACUUUAGAUGCAGUGUAACGUUAGCUAGCUAGCCACCAGAUUGACUUUAGAUGCAGUGUAACGUUAGCUAGCUAAAAUGGAGGUGAGGCCAUUUUUUUUAUUAGGUUUUUGACAAACUUUGCUAGCUAAUGACAACAUUGCAAUCAAAGUAAAUUUGAAGGCAUGAUAACGCUUGCAAACUUUUUCCUACUAAAUACUUGACUACUUUAGCAAUGUCAUUGUAUUUCCAGAAUUACUUUUUUUUAAUCGCAACUUUAGGGCGCCGCCGAUAGAGGCCUGCUUGAGAACGUUCACAACAAUGGCAUGAUGCGACAUAGUGAGGGAGGUGCAUCCUAUGAAUAUGUACUCUCUGUGUGUGUGUGUGUAUAUAUAUAAAAAAUAUAUGAGUCGUAGUCGUUCAGUCAUGCUGGGUAUUAUAUGACCAGUGGGGCUCUUCUCUAGCCAGUCUAGGGGUUCAAAUCUGUCUGCUAGAUAGCCCUGAGACGACUGGAUUAAAAGACUGUUGUUGUUCUCAAUACUUCAUGUGGGAUUAAGAUCCAAAGUCUCGUUUUACAACAACCAUCAGAAGGCAGAGAUGAUUUGCUUGUAAACAGUUCCACAACCCUUGCACGCCAUGGAGUCUUGAGCCGCAGCUUUCCAAAAUCAUUUUGGUUGAAGUGUAUUUAGAUGUUAUGUUUGCUUUGGCAACUUUGGGCUUUGUGGGGCUAUGUAGAUGCUACUAAGGUAGUUGUGGUUGGAACUGGACUAUUUAGCAGACAGAAUGUCACCCUUUCUGUUUGUGUUUUAACUACAGUCCUGUAGAGUUUAGUCCAAUACUGUUACUACUGUCCUACAACUACAGUAACAACACUCCUAACAAUUCUCUGUACGCUUCAGCAAGUCAUAUCAAUAACCAGCCAUCAAUAAGACCCUGGUUUUCAUUUGGUAGUUGUUUGUUGACAAGUUAACGGGCCGUUUGUUGUGUCUCAGUGUAACGGAUCUUAACGGUGGGCUCAGUGAUUUAAAUAUCAACACUGACUGUGUACCCUAUGAGUAUAAGGCUGAAGAUCAACAACAGAGGCAGUCUUGUGGAAUCCUUAGGUUCUUCACAGGAACGAAGAGGAUCAGUCAGAAUGUAGGGAAUAGGGUGCCAUUUCAUCUGGGCAGGGUUUCCUUCAGUUAAACAGUUAAGAUUUUAGACCAGCGUUUCCCCAACUCAGUCACCCCCCCCCUCUCCCGGGUGCACCUUUUGGUUCUGACCCAGCACUACACAGCUGAUUCAAUAACCAACUCAUCGGCAAGCUUUGAUUAUUUGAAUCAGUUGUGUAGUGCUAGGGGGGGGGGGGAAACCCCUUGGCGUCCCCAGGUACGAGUUUGGGAAACAUUGUCUUAGGCCUAACCAUCAGAUAGAUAGAGCAUCAAGUCUUUGACAUGGUCUCCUUCUGUUGCCUUGCCUUGUCAGGGGUUCAUAUAGGGUGCCUCCCAAAUGGUACCCCAUUCCCUAUAUAGUGCACUACUUUUGACCAAAGCCCUAUGGGGGUAGCCCUAUGGGCCAUAAACAGAACUAGUGCAGUAGAAGGACUAGGAGUCCUUUGGGCAGCAUCCAUGUCCCUACGCUGGUUAAAUUGAGUUGAUUCAGUCCAUGUUAUUUCUACAGAUGUCCAGGAGACAGACAGAUCAAUCCUACUACUCUGCUCUGUCGUCUACUAACAUUAAAACAAGACAAUACUCUGAUUCCUCUCAGAGCACACCUAUUAAGGGAAUACUUAUUUUGUCCUCUAUCAUAAUUAUAAAACUAUUUAGGAUCUUUAGAUUGUGGGCAGAACAUUCAUGUGUUCCCACCCCAAACCCCUGCUGAUUGUGGAGGUAGUUUGGGGGAAGUGCUUCUUGUUGUUGGUUAAAGAGCUGAGAACGGCUGUGCUAUCGCCGUGGCGACUGCUAACCAAUCACCAGGCGGGGUUGGGGAGGCGGUGCUACCAGGCCUGUCCUGAUUGGCCAGCCAGCUGACAGGGCUGGUGUGGGUCUAUGCUUUGGGACUUCAUCAGGUCUUGUCUAUAACGGCAACCUACCCCCCAUAAUGCACUGCUUCUGAUGAACAGGAGUAGUAGUGCACCAUGUAGGAAAUAGGGUGCCAUUUGAGACGUGCCAGUCAGAGGGGCAGCACUCUGACCCCCGACGUGGCACCAUGUUUGUCCUGACUGUGUUUUAACCUGUUAGGGGAUCCAGUGGGACUCUUCUGAAGACCACUGCUCACAUUUAAACAGCUAUUGUUAACAAGGGGCAUAUUAACACACAAAGGAGUCUCUAAAUGUGUCUAAUGUUAAAAUAGAUCUCUAGAGGUCAAAGAAAUGUCCUAGGUCACAGGGGAACCCUAUCAGACAGACUGUCAAUUCAUCAAUAAUCACAAUGAAUGCAACAUUAGUUAAGUGCUCCCCAUUGGGAUAUAUAAUAAGAGCAUAGGGGAUAAUGCAGUAAUAUAAUAUAGGGGUAAGAGCUUCCAUACGUUGGAGCGUCAGGUUAAGGUGCGUACAUAAAUCUGUGGUCAAGGGGGUCUCAACACGGCUGGGCUAGGCUAAAUUAGCAUGCUACCAUAUUAACGUAAGUGCUAAUGUUAUUCAAGGGUCUGGCCUACGUUAGCAUGCUAACGCAUUAGCGGUGCAAAUGCUACUGAAGGGGCUAAGCUAUACACCGACGCUCAGGGUAAUAUUUUAUAUUUUUGAUGUAACUUUUAUUUAACUAGACAAGUCAGUUAAGAACAAAUUCUUAUUUACAAUGAUGGCCUACCGGGGAACAGUGGGUUAACUGCCUUGUUCAGGGGCAGAACGACAGAUUUUUACCUUGUUAGCUCGGGGAUUCGAUCCAGUAACCUUUCGGAUACUAGCCCAACACUUUAACCACUAGGCUACUUGCCGCCCAGGUAGUGUUGUGAUUAGCAAAACAACGCAGCGUAGCUAAUACAGAUGGGUCUGGAGGGAGGGGUUAGAGGCGCGGCUAACGCUAAUAGAUCAUUAUCGGUGGUGUAUUUAGCAAACGCCAUGUCAUCCUCCUCUUCCUCUCUGACCUCACAUGGAACACCGCUUGCCACGAGGUCCCUAUGGCAACCAUUUACAUCUGUGGUCAUGGGGUCUCAACACGGCUGGGCAACUAAACUUGUAAUGGCUACCAAGCCGAGGAACUAACAGACUAGCCAACACUGUGUGUUUAGUGUCGACGUUACUGUGCGUGUAAACCCACUAUUACUACCACUAAACACUGUAGUUCCAAGUCUAACUGUGCGGACCUCGGUAGGGGAGUGUAGAUCACAUCAUCCCAUUUCAAUUCACAAUAAAUUUGACCACUAGGAAGGGAUCAUUACAACAUGAGACAGUGUGCUGGGGCUACAACAGCCAUGUG
rnacentral:lncRNA from 1 species